rnacentral:rRNA from 1 species
CUACGGGGGGCACCAGUGGGGAAUAUUGCACAAUGGGCGCAAGCCUGAUGCAGCCAUGCCGCGUGUAUGAAGAAGGCCUUCGGGUUGUAAAGUACUUUCAGCGGGGAGGAAGGGAGUAAAGUUAAUACCUUUGCUCAUUGACGUUACCCGCAGAAGAGGCACCGGCUAACUCCGUGCCAGCAGCCGCGGUAAUACGGAGGGUGCAAGCGGUAAUCGGAAUUACUGGGCGUAAAGCGCACGCAGGCGGUUUGUUAAGUCAGAUGUGAAAUCCCCGGGCUCAACCUGGGAACUGCAUCUGAUACUGGCAAGCGUGAGUCUCGUAGAGGGGGGUAGAAUUCCAGGUGUAGCGGUGAAAUGCGUAGAGAUCUGGAGGAAUACCGGUGGCGAAGGCGGCCCCCUGGACGAAGACUGACGCUCAGGUGCGAAAGCGUGGGGAGCAAACAGGAUUAGAUACCCUGGUAGUC